GUGGGAUUGUAGCUCAGUGGUAGAGUACCUGCCUGGCAUGUUCGAGGCACUGGGUUCGAUUCUCAGCCCCACA
rnacentral:tRNA from 1 species